rnacentral:rRNA from 1 species
UCCCGUACCGGAGUGCAGGCGAGGGAGUGACGGAGAAGGCUAGGACAACCAGCUGACGGAAUAGCUGGAGCAAGCGAGGUAGGGGUCAUCCAGGCAAAUCCGGAUGGCGCAACCCGAAGGCGUGAAGCGGAUGGAACAUUGCGAUAAGUACAGAAGAGUCUGAAGCCAGCUUCCAAGAAAAGCUUCUAGCAUAACUGCAUUCUGCCCGUACCGAAAAUGGACA